rnacentral:RNase_P_RNA from 1 species
GGUAAGAAACUUAACCAACGCAUCCUGCCAAGGUUUAAGCUAUAAAAAGCUAAUUUUGAGGGAUUGUGAGGAAAGUCCGCCCACUACUGCCAAUAAGGCAAGUCUGAAAGAGGGCUACUUGAAAAAGUUUCAGUAAUGAAAGGAAACCAUAGAGAAACGGCACGGCCUAUAAGAUUGGAAUGAUACAGUGAGGGUUCUGGCGACAGGACUUAGAUAACCUGCUGACGUCCUUAUAGGAAACGAUGAAACGAUGGACCUGGUCGGUGCAAGUCUAAAAGACGCUUAGUAGAAUGUUAAGGCAAAGCAUCGCAUCAAUCUUUAUGAUUGUUGUUUGGUUUUGACAAAAGGCGGCUUAUUUCUUACC